rnacentral:lncRNA from 10 species
UCUUGAACCCUGUUAAGAUGUUUAUCAAUGACAAUGUGAGCACAGUGGGACAUAGAAGUUCAUUAGUGAUUCCAGUUUUGCCCUGACCUUGUGAUCUCACCCUGACCUUCUGCCUUGUGAUCUUUCGUCACCCUUGAAGCAUGUGAUCUCUGUGACCCACACCUUAUUUGUACACUCCCUCCCCUUUGAAAAUUGCUAAUAAAAACUUGCUGGUUUUACGGCUCAGGGGGCAUCACGGAACCUGCCGACAUGUGAUGUCUCCCCCGGACACCCAGCUUUAAAAUUUCUCUCUUGUACUCUUUCCCUUUAUUUCUAGACCGGCCAACACUUAGAGAAAUAGAAAAGAACCUAUGUGAAAUAUCGGGGGCUGGUUUCCCCUGAUAGUGAAGGAGACAGGUUAGAUACACUGGAGCUUCCACACAGGAGAGAGGGAAGGAGCUGGAGAAGAAGGAGCCACAGAUUUUGGAGUACUGCAAAAUGACUUUCCAAAUUGAUGAACCAUGGACUCCAAGCUGGAUAGACACAGAAAUGAAAAGAAGGGACUAAUAGGGAAUAAGACGUGUGAUCCAUGGCCCGAUGGCCCUGAUGGACGUGAAGAUCCACUGUUGUGGGAGGAGUGGAACACUAACACUGAAUGAUGGAGGCUGUGGUCAGAAACAGAUUUGUCUGAAUUUCAGUUGAUCCAGAGCAAGAAAAAUAGCUGAAUAUAACUGGCCAGUGCAGAAGAGCCUAUGAAGGUGGAAAAUGGAGGAAGGAGGACCCCAUGCUGGAGAAGUGAUGGAGAUUUGAAGCCUUGGAAGAUGGCGGCAAGGGAGAUGCCAGAGAUGAGACAAUGUUAAACAUCUGUAAUCUAACAGUCUUCUAUGGGAGUUUAUUACAUUUCCAUAUCCUAUGUUCACUUCUAGUGAAAAAUAAAAAUAAAAUCUUAAGCCCCCCACAGCUGACUAAAUGGAUCCCAUUGUGAAAGGAAAAUAUCUUGAGCCUCCAAAAUCACUAAGGAAAAUUCAAGCUGGAAACUUCUUAGGACAAACCUGCCUCCCAUUCUCUUCAAAGUUAUUCCUCUGCUCGAGGAGCUAGAUGCAUAUCUGAUUGCCGCCUUUGGAAAGGCUAACCAGAAACUCAAAAGAAUGAUACAGUUUGUUAUCACCUACCUGUGACCUGGAAGCUCCCUCCCUCCCCACUUGAGUCUUCCUGCUUUUGUUUCAAGCUGUCCUGCCUUUCCAGACCAAACCAAUGUACUUCUUACGUAUAUUGAUUGAUGUCUCACUCAUGUCUCCCUAAAUCGUAUAAAACCAAGCUGUGCCCCAACUACCCUGGGCAUGUGUCAUCAGGAUUUCAUGAAGCUGUGUCACGGGCGCAUUCCCCAACCUUGAAAAAAUAAACUUUCUAAAUUAACUGAGACCUGUCUCAGAUUUUCUGGGUUCACAUUGUUUUCGUCAAGGGGACUCCCCAAGUAACUUUGAAAACUGAGUUCUAGGCUGUGAGGGGAUGGGAGGUCAGAGGUCAGACGCACCUUGCUGCACACCUCCACCUCGCUAACCCCCUUAGGCUUUCUUCCCUAGGGGCUAAACAGAAACCAGCUCUUUCCUUUUUUUUUUUUCUUUUUUUUUAGAGACGAGUCUUGCUCUGUCACCCAGGCUGGAGUGCAGUGGUUCGAUUUUGGCUCACUGCAACCACCACCUCCCAGGUUCAAGCAAUUCUCCUGCCUCAGCUUCCCAAGUAACUGCAACUACAAGCACAUGCCACCAUGCCCGGCUAAUUUCUUUUGUAUUUUUAGUAGAGAUGGGGUUUCACCAUGUUGCCCGGGCUGGUCUUGAACUCCUGAGCUCAGGCAAUCUGUCCGCCUCAGCCUCCCAAAGUGCUAGGAUUACAGGCAUGAGCCACUGCACCCAGCCAAAACCAGCUCUUUCAAAAGACUCCAGUGCUGAUAUCAACAACUGCCUGAGGCUUCCCCACCCUUUUGCAGUUUCCACAUAACAAUUAACCAGCAUUCCCUCCUGAUAAGAGACAACACCCCGCCCGCCGACGCAGAGCGGUUCUGGCCAGUCUUCAGAGGCUGCACACAGAGAGCCUGCGUGUCCCUGCUUUGUCUUUCGAUGUAAAAGGCCUAACUGUCAUGCAUUGAAAUGUGAAGUCUCCAGCCCAAAGUGAACAUGGGACACAUGCUGCAUGCAUGUUAGCCUGCUACACAUGCAUGAUCCUCUUCAUGAAUAUUCAUAGCUCCUCCUGUAAUCUGUUGAAUAUGUAUACUUAGCCAACCUGCUCAACAUAAAUUCCUGUUCCCUUUACCCCUCCUUUGAAAUAUGUGUUUCCAGCUUCUGGCCCAAGGCUACGCUUUCCAGCCUGUCAGAAUGGCUGCCUGCAAGCAGCAACCCUUUAGGAGAAAGAAAGCUCUCCUUUCCAAAUUUAUAAAUGUCAUCAUACUUCAGUUUACAAUAGUAUUUAAUUUUUUGACCUUUAAGUUCUCCAAGGUCCUUCUCCAUUUUUAAGGCUUUCGAAAUUAACUGAUGAUUCUACUAAAAAGCUAAAAAUAGGUUUUUUGUUUCCAAAUAAUCAGAACAUAAUACAGUCAAAAGCACCAUAUAGAAAUAGUUCCCUGUUUCCAGCCAAUACGGCUGUGUCUCUGUUUUGAACAUUUGCCUCCAGAGUGUUGCUGAUGCAGUUCAAACAGAAAGCACUGAGAAAUAAAAUUUGCAAGUGGUUUCUGUUGAGAGUUUCUACUGUUUAUAAGUCUGCGAGAAUUAGUUACGUUACAGCAGGGAGUGAGAGAGAGAAGCAGCGGGUACCAAAACCUCGCUGAGCUCCUACCUGCCCUCCCCAUUUCUUGCCCGCCCCCCAUGGCUACCUGCCCCCUGCGAUGAACUCGAGACCUUGGAAUGAGAAACAGUUCAGAGUUGUCUGGUGUGUGCAUAUCACCUGUGGUCUAACUCAUCACCCUGAAAGAAACCAAAAUAUUUCACCCCAAAAUACCCUUCUUUGACAUAUUUUGAGAGGGCUGUUCAGAGGGCCUGCGAGCAUGGGCAGCCCUGCAAAGGUGUCUGGUGGGGGAGAUUUGCAUCUGAGGGAAAAUCAGCAGUGAUACAGUCAGGCUUAGAGUUCCUCCCUUGUCUGGAUCUAGAAAAGAUUAACUGAGAGUGACAUCUUUAAAGAGCUGAAAGAAACAUUUCCCAUCUAUUCUCUGUGACGGUUGCCACCUGCAAGGUUUCAUCUACAUAACAAGACCACCUUUGCAGACCAGGUCUCCUCUUCUCUCCCUCCCAUAACCUGUCUUGCCAUUAGAAACUGAUUUACCACCAUAACCUGUUUUUAGCCAUGCUCUGAGGCCCCAUUCUUUCUGUAACCUUGAGACGGCAUAAAGAGGUCAACCAUCUGGCCAUUUCUUUGAGUUCUUAUAUUUUGUAGGACUCCCAUAUAUAUUAAUAAAUUUGGAUGCCUUUUCUCCUAUUAAUAUGCCUUUUGUCAGUUGAUUUUUCAGUGAACCUUCAGCGGGUGAAGGAGAAGUUUUCCCUUGGUCCCUACAAUCUGUUUACCCUAAACCAGGCUGAUACAAAAAUUAAAUGAUGU